rnacentral:lncRNA from 1 species
GUGGGAGAUGCCAAAAUCCUUCAUUAGACUUGGUACUUUCCUUUCCUAUUUUAAGAAUCCUCUUAUUAGUGCUGUGGCAUGAAUACUUGUCCAUCUGUCUAUCCAUCUAUCCCCGAGCACCUGCAUCCUUCUCAGCAAAGCCAGAACCCUGUCCUCACAGAGCUCCCAAGCUGCUGUCAAAAGGUGAACAGAGGCUUGAUGCAGCCAGGAAAACAUCCAUGAGUGCAUGUCAGGGAAAGGCUCAGCACAGCCACCUGCUCCCUCAUCAUGGCCCUCCCUGCUCCAGGCAGGGUGUUCCAUCCAGAAGAGGAGCCUGCACGAAGGCAAGCUGUUCAGGGCGAAGAGCAGUCCACAUGGCUGAAGCACAAGUUGGAAAACAACAAUUGUCUAUGACCUGGUGAGCAAAGUCUCCAAGGACAGGCUUCACAGGGAGGCUCUGUGAGGGCGCAGAGACCCCAGGGAAGAGCUGACCAAGCAAGAACAGCAAGAACCGAGAGCAGCGGCUGCUUUUUCAAGUGGCUGGGUCGAUUGAGGCCAUCGUGCACAUUCAGGCUGGGCUUGCUGAGACACCCUCCCACUCACGACCCUACACGUUUCAGGAGGUGACCCAGGGGAGCCGCAGCGCUAUCACACAGCUUCUACAAGCCGAUUCAACCUCUAGUAAAAUUUUGGUAUUAAUGAAGUAUGCACUUAGAGGAACAACAAUGGGUAAUUUAACACCACAUUUACAUGAAGAAACUGGCUACAGUAGUCUGUUUGCCCUCAUCUUUCUUCACCUUCGGUUUAAAAGUACACAUUUUAUGUGACAUUUGUGUCCCCCAAGUCUAAUGCUAGUCUCGACAGCUGUGUUGCCCCGUUUGAGACAUUUACCCCUCCUGAUUCCCAGUUCUUUCAUCCAUAAAACAGGGACAAUCAUUCUUGCUUUGCCUUGCCCACCAGUGUUAUGGUAAAAGCCAGAUUAAGUAACAAGUUGGAUAGAGCUGUGCAAACUAUAAAGCACCUCACAAUGGAAGGCUCGCCCUGACUAAGGAUAGGUGAGACAGCUCCCCAGCCUGUGGGAAGUGUGAAUACACUUCUCCCUGUGGAUGCAGACUCUCUGAAGAGGUUUCUCCUGAGAUCCCACGACAGUUCAGUGACCCCACAAUCACCCAGGUGGGGCAAGGCCCUGGCCCAAGAUGCUGUCUAGAAUGUGCCCAGGGAUGACAAAUGGAGGUGGCCAGCAGGGUGACCUGGUGGACCACUCUACGGAGCCCAGCUUCAAGGACAUGCGGUCUGUGGGAAGAGGGCAGCAGCAUGCCUGGGGCGGCAGAGGCUGGCAGGGAGCUCUCCUCCUCACCGGCAGAGCAAAGGCAGCUUCUGCUUUGCUGCCAAGACUACAACAGUUAGCCUGGAUGGGGCAGUAAUGAUGGCCUUGCCACCCAGCAAAACUCCAAGGGUAACAGCACCCUGACCUUCCCCCAGGAACUGCUCCAUUCCUGCUCUCAUCCCAGGGGCAAUAAGAGUUGGCAUGCAGCCAAGGUUAUUGGUUCGGGGAUAGGCAUAAGCUCCAACCCACACCAACCGGGUCCGAAGAGAGCAAGUCUGGGAGCUUUCCCUGGGGUAACUAGGUAAGAAGUUCUUUUGUUGGCUGGAUUCAGCCCUGAGAGACCACAAGCCUAGAGUUGCCAGGGGGACAUAGAGAUGAAGAGCUAACACCCACCAAGGGAAGCCAAGCCAAAAAAUGAAGAGAAAGUGUGCCAGUCAGCCAGCCAGCCAGCGAAACUCAGAAGCAGGCACCUGGCCCUGAGGCCACUGUAUGCAUCCCUGGAUCAAGUUGAGCCUGAAGUCAAAAAUUCCCUUCUCUCCCCUCCCCUCCCCAUUUGGGCUUUUCAGUUAUAAAAGCCACCAAAUUAAGCUAGUUUGGGUUCAGUUUUUGUCACCUGCAAAUGAAGGAGUCCCACCUAAAUAUUAAUACAAUGGGCUGUAGGAUCACUCCAUGUCUCUAAAAUGUUGAGGUAUCUGAGAGAGAGAAUCUUCAGUAGCUCCUCAUUUCUCAAGAGACAACAUCUUUGAUGACUCCCUCUGACCCACAGGUUCAGCGGUGGUUCCCUAUACACAGGGCCUCCGAGCCCUAUAAGUCACUGCCUCUGGGAAUUCAUCUAGGCUCAGCUUUCCAAAUUCCCUCCUUCAAUCUUUUCCGUUCUCUGUUGCCAUCUUCAAUUUCAACUGGUUUCCUGUGCUGUGCACACUCUUGUAAACUUGACGCUUCAGACUUGCCUUCCUUCCCAUCCCGUGCAUCCCAGGGACAUGGACUCUGAGCUCCCUUGGCAGAGGGUACAUUCUAUGCUUGGCAGCCUCCCACUUCCGCACCCAGCUUCACCUCUAAGGCACUGCCCACUUCCAUCCCAUCUCGCCUGGCAGUUCAGGGACCCUAUUUCAGCUCAAUUCAACACCACUCACUGGUUAUCUGCUCCAUACCAGGCAUGAUCCUGAGCACUGGGGAUUCAAAGAUGGCUACAACACUGUUCAUAUCCUCAAGGAGGAUGGCAGAUAAUAUAUAAACAUUUCAGGACAGCAGACAAGAAUCCAAGCUCAAGCAGAGUACUAGGAGUCUCCUUUGGGGCGGAGAGGAUGGAGCAGCUAAUCGUGUCCGGAGCAUCUGGGAAGGCUUCUUGAGAAGCACAGGACUGCAUCACAUCUAAAUUCCUCCAUCUGGCAUCCCCGAGGACCUCUGCAAUCUGUCUACACUCAACCUACCAACAACCAACUGACGUCUGUCAUGGGUCCAGCGAGGACAGUGCCCCUGCCCCUCCUGAUGCCCCUUCCUCCUCCACGUGCCUCCAGUCCCUCAGCUCCCACAGCCUCCCACAUAUCUGCAUACUCACUGGAAGGUACGGUCUUCACGUCUGCUCUUUUCCAAGACUGAAAGCACUCCUGUUUGUCUAAAUCCUGCUUCACCCUUUAAGGGAAGACUAAGGAGUUUCAUUUCCUCUGAGCAUCAUUUUUCCCCUUUUGAAAGCCUAAUGUACUUAGGAUGAACCAAUGACCACCACAUGCCUGCUGCUUCUAACCCCCAUCCCCCGGCCAUAACAGACAUUCCCACUGGUCAUCAGACGGCACUCUUUCUCCUGGCACCCUGAGGCAGUGUCACAUGUUUUGCCAUUCAGGCAGCACCCACUGGGUAGAGUUGGCAUCCAAGUUGAAACUGUUUGCCAUCCAGAGCUAAAAAUUAUAUCACAUGUUUUGACAUGUCAUCAUGAAGGUAAAUCAUAUCAACAAACAAUUGAGCACCAACCAAGUACAAGAGCAGAGAAGGGUUGGGAAGGUGAACCUAUUGAUACACUGUCUCGUAUCAUUUGCAGCUUGUCAGUGCCUUGAGGACAAAAACCAUAUUCCAUCUACCUCUGCAGAAUCCCCUCACAGUACCAAAGCAGAGAGCUGGGUACUUCACCUCACUAGAUUCCAAGAUCCCAUCUCUACACAAAAGGAGAAACAGAACCAUUAUCUCGGGCUACAUUUCUCAGCACCUGGGCCAGCAAUCUUGUCUUAGUUGUCACCCAGGCCAGAAUCCCAUUUACCCCAUCCUAGUUGGCACUGCAGAGUUAUGCUUUAUUUCUAAACCAUGUCAGGCCUUUGCAUCCCAUCCCAAUGGCUCAGGUAAAAUUGGAUGGCAAUGGGAAUGUGCCCUACAUGGGCUGAUCAAAGUCAUACACUGUCUCCCUGGGAAUCUAUGGAGUUCAGGUCAACCCUCCAAUAUGUCUACUUCCUUUGCCAAAAAGUAAGAAAUGGUGGCUGGGCACAGUGGCUCACGGCUGUAAACCCAGCACUUUGGGAGGCCGAAGCAGGUGGAUCACCUGAGAUCAUGAGUUCAAGACCAGCCUGGCCAAACACGGUGAAACCUAUCUCUACUAAAAAUACAAAAAUUAGCUGAGUAUGGUGGCACGAGUCUGUAAUCCCAGCUACUUGGGAGGCUGAGGCAUGAGAAUUGUUUGAACCCGGGAGGCAGAGGUUGCAGUGAGCCGAGAUAGCACUGCUGCACUCCAACCUGGGUGAGAGCGAGACUCUGUGUCAAAAAAAAAAAAAAAAAAAAAAGUAAGAAAUGAGUGAACAUUUCAAAAUGGCAGGAACUGGUUAAGUUUAAAACUGAACACUUUCAUUUUGACAAGAAAGCAGUCAUUCUUUUUCUCCAUUAACAGAGAUAAAGAAAAGCUUUUCAAAUCUGUAUAUGGCUACGUUGAUUGACGUCUGAGUUAAAAAUGAAAUCUCAGCCGGGCGCGGUGGCUCACACCUGUAAUCCCAGCACUUUGGGAGGCUGAGGUGGGUGGAUCAUGAGGUCAGGAGAUGGAGGCCAUCCUAGCUAACAUGGUGAAACCCCAUCUCUACUAAAAAUACAAAAAAUUAGCUGGGCAUGGUGGCAUGCACCUGUAGUCCCAUCUACUCAGGAGGCUGACACAGGAGAAUCACUUGAACCCAGGAGGCGGAAGUUGCAGUGAGCCGAGAUUGUGCCACUGCACUGUAGCCUGGUUGACAGAGCGAGACUCCAUCUCCAAAAAAAAAAAAAGAGAGAGAGAGAGAAAUCUCAUUUCCCUGUUGCUCAGUCAUGUUCCUAUAAACAUACUACUUGCAUGCCUGGACAGUUAUCACUUUCCAACCUCUUAUCUCGGUGAUUUCCCAAGCUACAGAGUAAGAUAGGUGGAGAAUUUUUGUAUUUUUAGUAGAGACAGGGUUUCACCAUGUUGGUCAGGCUGGUCUUGAACUCUGGCCUACACAACAGAGCAAGACUCCGUCUCAAAAAACAAAUAGGCAGAGAAGGGGUUAUUUACAUUUCACAGAUGAGGUUCACAGGCACUGAGUUAUUUUUGCUACAGUCAACGUGAACAAUACAAACAGCAAUUGUGCCCUCUGGUUUGAAGAGACCUGGCUCCACCCACCUGGUGGGGAAAACUACAACUCCACCCUGGUCCCAUGCCUGCCAGCUCUCACCUGGACUCCUCUGUUGUCUCACGUAAGUCACAUCUAAGUAUGACCUCAGCUGCUCAAAGGACUGCUGAGAAAGUUAGUCAAGUUAUCCAACCAACACUCAGCAAACCGAGGACCCAUCUGGGAGGUGGAGCCACCCUACCCAAUCACAGCUGUUGGGAGUGUAUCUGUCCCAGUGGGUGGCACAGCUGAGCUCCUACCUAGAGGUGGCCACCAUGCUAGGAAGCACCUUCACCUUGGACAGUGGGCUCAGGUUCUGGCUCUGCCACUUAUUAGCUAUGCAGACUUGGGCAAGUGACUUUACCCCUCCUCACUGCAGCUUCUUCACUGUAAAAUGAGAAUACAGACACCAGAAGCUACCCAGGUUUGUUGGUAAGUGCAAAUGAGGCAGCCUAUGUAAACAAGAGCCAGUGUCUUCGUGUGGCAAACCCCAUGGCAAGUUCUCAUGGAACAUUGGCUAUUACUGCUGUGUCUAGUCUAUGUAACACUCACUGCCCUGCCCCAGCCACCAGCCACCACCCAGGAACAGCAUGGUGCCCGGUGCAGAGUAACUGCUAAAUACUAAGUUAGUAUACUCACAAUGUACCUAACUCACUGAUGACCCUGAAGGAGGUGCACAAUUCUUCCCGGAGGAGGCCCUGCCCUGGCUUAGGGCUGGCUCUGCUAUGAGGGAGACAGCUGCCUCAUCUAAAGCUGCUCUUACACCUUCCUGGACUGUCCAGAAAAACUCUCUAUGGUUUGCUAUAGACAGAACAGUCAGAAGGUGAAAGAGGGCCCAGAUCCCCAGGCCCAAUCUUACCCCAACUCCAUUCAUUGCUAAGGCUAAGAAUGUCUGUGGGUCAGUGGAGAACAGGCAGCACUCAUCUCAUCAGAGAAACUACUCUUUCAUACGAACGUCUCCAAUGUAUGGACACCAUUUUCCCACUGAGUGUGCCGACACCAUAGAAACACGGAUCAUACCUUUCUAAGUAAAUAUAUGAAUAGAAGCUUUAAAAUAUUUUAAGUAUGGAGUCUAUAAUUAAGACACAGCGUUUGAGAUAUUUACACAGAAGAUUAAUGACUCCAUGCACAUAAUUCAUCAUUGCUUUAGUAUUACCAAGUAAUAUUAAGUUAAUUAAGAGACAUUGGGAGGCCAAAAAACCAGGCAUGACCCAACUGCAGCCCUGCAAUGGAAAUGAAUGAGCAAGUCAGCAGGCAGAACUGAGUCUCGGGAGACCCACACUGAGCUGAGGAGUAUCUAAGAAACCCAUGUCACUUGCACUGACCUGCUCUUGCCAGUCCAAGGUCACUCUCAUCCAUUAUUUGACACCUCCCAGAGGCUAGAGAGAGGGCUCCGUCACCAUUUCCCAAGCUCAGAACCCACACAGGCCUUUCCACAGGCAAUUCCACUCCCAGGGAACCUGGUGGCUCCAAGAGGAGUUACUAGGGGAUUAUAUUGAGUUAGGUGGCAAGGGCUGGUUAAUUAUCUCUACUCUUCUUUUGAAAGUAAAUUUUAUGUUUUAAAUUGCUUUCCUUGCUCCAAAAAAAAAACCUUAGAGCAGCAAGAAUAUAAAAAUUCAAAGUAGGUGAGAAAGGGAACGUUACAUGGCUGUUUAAAAGGAGAAGGCAGAUCCACAUGUGAGGGCAAGAAAGAGUGCCUACGAUCUUAUUAUUCCAGAUUAUUACAGUGUGUAAUACGAAUACUGCAGUGGUAUGAACAUUACAGGCCCCUGGAAUCUGAAAAGAUGGUGACCUCUUCAUAAGCCAGUCUGCAGGGCAAGCACCCAGAAGCAAAGAGGCUUGCCUCAGAGAAAAAGAUCCUUGGGACUUUCCAACUCUACUUUUAGGUAGCUCUGAUUUGUGUGAGCUUUUCCCAUUGAGCAUCUUUUACUUUAAAAUCAGCUGAAACUUUAAAUAUUUAGGACAGAAGAAUAAGGUAAAAUGAAAAAAAAAGAGCGAGGAAAAUAAAAUAAAAAUAAGACCAUUGUAAAGAUGUAUCCUGUGAAGACAUGUCUUUAUUAAUAAGUCUGAGAUUUUUGAUAGUUAAUGUAAAAGAAGGAAAUCAGAUCAGUGACACAAGUCACCUUAACCGUUGAAUGAAACUGUUUCUUGGCACAGAACAAAAUAUUUCUCCAGAGGAUCUGCACAGAGAAAAGAAUCAGUUGACAAUAGGUAUUAAGCAUCAAUUAUAGGAAGUAGAAUAACAUGGAAUUCCUGUCUCCAUGAAAUGUAUACUGUAAUGGAGGAGAGAGGAUUGUUUAAAUAAAAUACAUAUGAAAUUAAUUCAGUGCUUUGUAUCCAGCAAUUUUUGAAAAAUGAAAUAAAAUUGUAUGGAAAAUAUCACAUUGCACA